rnacentral:rRNA from 1 species
AUCUUUUUUAUUAAUAAGGUCUUUUAAAAAAAAUUAUGCUGUUAUCCCUAAGGUAAUUAAUUUUAUUAAUUUAAAUUUUAAGAUUUUUUAUUCAUUAAUUAUAGUUUUAUAAAAAAAAAAUUUUUUAAAUUUUUAAAUUACCCCAAUUAAAUUUAUUAAAAAAAAUAAAUAGUUAAAAUUUAAUUUUAAUUUUUAUAAAUAAAUAAAAUUCUAUAGGGUCUUGUCGUCUUUUAAAAUAAUUUAAGUUUUUUUACUUAAAUAAAAAUUUAAAAUUUAUUUAAUUGAGACAGUUUAUAUUUCAUUAAAUCAUUCAUUCUAGUUUUUAAUUAGAAAACAAAUUAUUAUGCUACCUUUGUACAGUUAUAAAUUCUGCAGCCAUUUAAUUAA